UUGCAGUUAAAAAGCUCGUAGUUGGAUUUCGGUUGAGAGCGGCCGGUCCGCCGUUUGGUGUGCACUGGCUGGUUUCAGCUUCCUGCAGAGGACGCGCUCUGGGCUUAAUCGUCUGGACGUGGAGUCUGCGUGGUUACUUUGAAAAAAUUAGAGUGUUCAAAGCGGGCUUACGCUUGAAUAUUUCAGCAUGGAAUAACACUAUAGGACUCCUGUCCUAUUUCGUUGGUCUCGGGACGGGAGUAAUGAUUAAGAGGAACAGUUGGGGGCAUUCGUAUUUCAAUGUCAGAGGUGAAAUUCUUGGAUUUUUGAAAGACGAACUUCUGCGAAAGCAUUUGCCAAGGAUGUUUUCAUUAAUCAAGAACGAAAGUUGGGGGCUCGAAGAUGAUUAAAUACCAUCCUAGUCUCAACCAUAAACGAUGCCGACUAGGGAUUGGCGGAUGUUAAUUGAUGACUCCGCCAGCACCUUAUGAAAAAUCAAAGUUUUUGGGUUCCGGGGGGAGUAUGGUCCCAAGGCUGAAACUUAAA
rnacentral:rRNA from 1 species